GCAUCUGUAGUUUAGUGGUAAAAUCCGCCGUUUCCAUUGGAGGGUCCCGCGUUCGAUUCGCGGCCGAUGCA